GCGUUCCAAGAUGGCCGAGUAAGUACACGCUUACUGCCGAGCUUAGCAAACGUAACCCUAUAAUACGGUAGGAACACUGUGUCAACUCAGACCUCAGAAGCUUUUUCGGUAUUUAAGCCAGAAAAGAACUGAUUUUGAUCGAUAAAGGGACAAAAUGUCACAGCGUGACAAUAAAAGACCCUCGGCUAGCUCCAACAACGAAGCUACUGCUAAAGGCUAAUGCUAGCCAAACAGCCGGGUCGGUAAACCCACUGCUUGACAACUGCCAUGACUACACGGCUCUUUCACUACCUCUCCCAAUAACUGAGGACGUAAUGGACGAGUUUCCACCUCUACCCGUCUCACCCAGCCAGUCUCCGGCGCCAAAGAAAGCGUUGCAUUCAAAGACAGAAUCUCCAACUAUUCCACAUGUGGUCUCUUAUUGGAAUUCCUUUGUCAGUGACAUCAACUGGAAAAGAGCAUGGACAAUUCCUAACAAGUAUCUGGUAACGAAUAAAGUGAAGGAAGUCUCAUUUAAAAUGCUGCAUAAAUUUUAUCCUGCUAAUCAUUAUGUGACAAAGUUCAAAAGGGACAUAAAUGUGAACUGUGGAUUUUGUGGAAGCCAACCUGAGACUGUGCAGCACCUCUUCUGGAUCUGUUCAUACACUAGAACAUUUUGGAAAGACUUCAGUAGAUUCAUUGCUGGACAUCUCUACAAAGACUUUACUGUGAAAUGGGACAAUGUUGUAUUUUGUUUCUUUCGAAGGCAAAAAGAAAGAUGUUUACUUUAUUAUAAACUUUUUAUCUUAGCUAAAUUUUAUUUUCACAAAUGCAAAUACAGUAAUCAAAAGCCUAAUUUUAAACAUUACUAUAAUGAUGUUUUAUGUUACAUAAAAUUGAUUUGUGGAUGACUUAACAAAAUGCUAUGAAAACUAUUACCAUUUGUAGUAAUUACAAAUUAUUUGAAUGUAUGUAAUUCUUUGUAUUACACCCCCUGGCAUAUGUUAAUUUUGCUCUGGUUGUGUACACGUUCUGUAUACUGUUUCUCAAUAAAGUUUAAUAAUAAUUUUAAAAA